GAUGAACGCUGGCGGCGUGCCUAAUACAUGCAAGUCGAGCGAACAGACGAGGAGCUUGCUCCUCUGACGUUAGCGGCGGACGGGUGAGUAACACGUGGAUAACCUACCUAUAAGACUGGGAUAACUUCGGGAAACCGGAGCUAAUACCGGAUAAUAUAUUGAACCGCAUGGUUCAAUAGUGAAAGACGGUUUUGCUGUCACUUAUAGAUGGAUCCGCGCCGCAUUAGCUAGUUGGUAAGGUAACGGCUUACCAAGGCAACGAUGCGUAGCCGACGUGAGAGGCUGAUCGGCCACACUGGAACUGAGACACGGUCCAGACUCCUACGGGAGGCAGCAGUAGGGAAUCUUCCGCAAUGGGCGAAAGCCUGACGGAGCAACGCCGCGUGAGUGAUGAAGGUCUUCGGAUCGUAAAACUCUGUUAUUAGGGAAGAACAAAUGUGUAAGUAACUAUGCACGUCUUGACGGUACCUAAUCAGAAAGCCACGGCUAACUACGUG
rnacentral:rRNA from 1 species